GACGAACGCUGGCGGCGUGCCUAAUACAUGCAAGUAGAACGCUGAAGCGAGGAGCUUGCUCUUCUUGGAUGAGUUGCGAACGGGUGAGUAACGCGUAGGUAACCUGCCUGGUAGCGGGGGAUAACUAUUGGAAACGAUAGCUAAUACCGCAUAAAAUGGAUUAUCGCAUGAUAAUCCAUUGAAAGGUGCAAAUGCAUCACUACCAGAUGGACCUGCGUUGUAUUAGCUAGUUGGUGGGGUAACGGCUCACCAAGGCGACGAUACAUAGCCGACCUGAGAGGGUGAUCGGCCACACUGGGACUGAGACACGGCCCAGACUCCUACGGGAGGCAGCAGUAGGGAAUCUUCGGCAAUGGACGGAAGGCUGACCGAGCAACGCCGCGUGAGUGAAGAAGGGUUUCGGAUCGUAAAGCUCUGUUGUAAGAGAAGAACGAGUGUGAGAGUGGAAAGUUCACACUGUGACGGUAUCUUACCAGAAAGGGACGGCUAACUACGUG
rnacentral:rRNA from 1 species